rnacentral:rRNA from 1 species
GAACGAGUUAUCUGAACCUUCGGGGAACGAUAACGGCGUCGAGCGGCGGACGGGUGAGUAAUGCCUAGGAAAUUGCCCUGAUGUGGGGGAUAACCAUUGGAAACGAUGGCUAAUACCGCAUAAUGCCUACGGGCCAAAGAGGGGGACCUUCGGGCCUCUCGCGUCAGGAUAUGCCUAGGUGGGAUUAGCUAGUUGGUGAGGUAAGGGCUCACCAAGGCGACGAUCCCUAGCUGGUCUGAGAGGAUGAUCAGCCACACUGGAACUGAGACACGGUCCAGACUCCUACGGGAGGCAGCAGUGGGGAAUAUUGCACAAUGGGCGCAAGCCUGAUGCAGCCAUGCCGCGUGUGUGAAGAAGGCCUUCGGGUUGUAAAGCACUUUCAGUCGUGAAGAAGGUAGUGUAGUUAAUAGCUGCAUUAUUUGACGUUAGCGACAGAAGAAGCACCGGCUAACUCCGUGCCAGCAGCCGCGGUAAUACGGAGGGUGCGAGCGUUAAUCGGAAUUACUGGGCGUAAAGCGCAUGCAGGUGGUUUGUUAAGUCAGAUGUGAAAGCCCGGGGCUCAACCUCGGAAUUGCAUUUGAAACUGGCAGACUAGAGUACUGUAGAGGGGGGUAGAAUUUCAGGUGUAGCGGUGAAAUGCGUAGAGAUCUGAAGGAAUACCGGUGGCGAAGGCGGCCCCCUGGACAGAUACUGACACUCAGAUGCGAAAGCGUGGGGAGCAAACAGGAUUAGAUACCCUGGUAGUCCACGCCGUAAACGAUGUCUACUUGGAGGUUGUGGCCUUGAGCCGUGGCUUUCGGAGCUAACGCGUUAAGUAGACCGCCUGGGGAGUACGGUCGCAAGAUUAAAACUCAAAUGAAUUGACGGGGGCCCGCACAAGCGGUGGAGCAUGUGGUUUAAUUCGAUGCAACGCGAAGAACCUUACCUACUCUUGACAUCCAGAGAACUUUCCAGAAGAUGGAUUGGUGCCUUCGGGAACUCUGAGACAGGUGCUGCAUGGCUGUCGUCAGCUCGUGUUGUGAA